CAGGCUAUGAUGAUUGGCGCAGGGGUACGGACCUCAGCUGAGUCAUGGGAGCUGAGUGUAUGUGUUUCACCAUUGUCCUGCAUGUGGCAGGUUGGUGGUGUGCACUUACAUGAGAACGUUGCCUUAGUCUGAGCCUG
ensembl:snoRNA Snord94 predicted gene, 22486